rnacentral:lncRNA from 10 species
AUGACGUGACUCAACUGUGUGUGGGUAGCAAGAUCCAUGUCCUCAAAGUGAAGGUCACCCUGAAACCCAGCCAAGUGACAGCAGGCUCGGCCACAUGGCUCACUUUGGCCAAGAAAAUAGGAGAGAAGCAACACUUGCAAGAAGUUGUAAAAGUUGUCGUGCGGUCCCGCCGGUGUUCUUUCUCCUCUGCCAUGAGAACGUGGCCACUCCUUCAGCCCGGAUCCCGGAAAGAUGGAGAUGUGUGAGUCAGAGCCUCAUCCGACAGCAGCUGAUGUUUACCCCGAGUGAGAAACAAACCAGCUUCCUACAGUAAAACAAAGCAGAGAGCCACAGGCCCCUGGAUGACACUUGGCAGCCACCCCCACCCCCGCCAAGCAGCAGGUAAGAGCUGUGGGACCCCUUGUUCCUAAGCCACACACUAUUCCUGUCCUUGACGGGGACCAUGGCUA